rnacentral:rRNA from 1 species
GACGAACGCUGGCGGCGUGCCUAACACAUGCAAGUCGAACGAGGUCCAGGGGAGCUUGCUCCCUGACGACCUAGUGGCGAACGGGUGAGUAACACGUGAGAAACCUGCCUCGGAGUGGGGAAUAACUCGGGGAAACUCGAGCUAAUACCGCAUACCUUCACAUGAUCGCAUGGUCGAGUGAAGAAAGAAUUUCGCUCUGAGAGGGUCUCGCGGCCUAUCAGCUUGUUGGUGGGGUAACGGCCUACCAAGGCAACGACGGGUAGCUGGUUUGAGAGGACGAGCAGACACACUGGGACUGAGACACGGCGCAGACGCCGGCGGGAGGCAGACGUGGGGAAUCUUGCGCAAUGGGCGAAGGCCUGACGCAGCAACGCCGCGUGCGGGAUGACGGCCUUCGUGGUUGUAAACCGCUUUCAGCAGGGACGAAAAUGACGGUACCUGCAGAAGAAGCCCCGGCUAACUACGUGCCAGCAGCCGCGGUAA